rnacentral:rRNA from 1 species
GACGAACGCUGGCGGCGUGCUUAACACAUGCAAGUCGAACGGAAAGGUCUCUUCGGAGAUACUCGAGUGGCGAACGGGUGAGUAACACGUGGGUAAUCUGCCCUGCACUUCGGGAUAAGCCUGGGAAACUGGGUCUAAUACUGAAUAGGACCAUAAGGCGCAUGCCUAUUGGUGGAAAGCUUUUGCGGUGUGGGAUGGGCCCGCGGCCUAUCAGCUUGUUGGUGGGGUGACGGCCUACCAAGGCGACGACGGGUAGCCGGCCUGAGAGGGUGUCCGGCCACACUGGGACUGAGAUACGGCCCAGACUCCUACGGGAGGCAGCAGUGGGGAAUAUUGCACAAUGGGCGCAAGCCUGAUGCAGCGACGCCGCGUGGGGGAUGACGGCCUUCGGGUUGUAAACCUCUUUCACCAUCGACGAAGGUCCGGGUUUUCUCGGAUUGACGGUAGGUGGAGAAGAAGCACCGGCCAACUACGUGCCAGCAGCCGCGGUAAUACGUAGGGUGCGAGCGUUGUCCGGAAUUACUGGGCGUAAAGAGCUCGUAGGUGGUUUGUCGCGUUGUUCGUGAAAUCUCACGGCUUAACUGUGAGCGUGCGGGCGAUACGGGCAGACUGGAGUACUGCAGGGGAGACUGGAAUUCCUGGUGUAGCGGUGGAAUGCGCAGAUAUCAGGAGGAACACCGGUGGCGAAGGCGGGUCUCUGGGCAGUAACUGACACUGAGGAGCGAAAGCGUGGGGAGCGAACAGGAUUAGAUACCCUGGUAGUCCACGCCGUAAACGGUGGGUACUAGGUGUGGGUUUCCUUCCUUGGGAUCCGUGCCGCAGCUAACGCAUUAAGUACCCCGCCUGGGGAGUACGGCCGCAAGGCUAAAACUCAAAGGAAUUGACGGGGGCCCGCACAAGCGGCGGAGCAUGUGGAUUAAUUCGAUGCAACGCGAAGAACCUUACCUGGGUUUGACAUGCACAGGACGCCGGCAGAGAUGUCGGUUCCCUUGCGGCCUGUGUGCAGGUGGUGCAUGGCUGUCGUCAGCUCGUGUCGUGAGAUGUUGGGUUAAGUCCCGCAACGAGCGCAACCCUUAUCCUAUGUUGCCAGCGGAUUAUGCCGGGGACUCAUGGGAG